rnacentral:rRNA from 1 species
GUCGAACGCGCAGCGAGAGGUGCUUGCACCUUUCAAGCGAGUGGCGAACGGGUGAGUAACACGUGGAUAACCUGCCUCAAGGCUGGGGAUAACAUUUGGAAACAGAUGCUAAUACCGAAUAAAACUUAGUAUCGCAUGAUAUCAAGUUAAAAGGCGCUACGGCGUCACCUAGAGAUGGAUCCGCGGUGCAUUAGUUAGUUGGUGGGGUAAAGGCUUACCAAGACGAUGAUGCAUAGCCGAGUUGAGAGACUGAUCGGCCACAUUGGGACUGAGACACGGCCCAAACUCCUACGGGAGGCUGCAGUAGGGAAUCUUCCACAAUGGGCGCAAGCCUGAUGGAGCAACGCCGCGUGUGUGAUGAAGGCUUUCGGGUCGUAAAGCACUGUUGUAUGGGAAGAAAUGCUAAAAUAGGGAAUGAUUUUAGUUUGACGGUACCAUACCAGAAAGGGACGGCUAAAUACGUGCCAGCAGCCGCGGUAAUACGUAUGUCCCGAGCGUUAUCCGGAUUUAUUGGGCGUAAAGCGAGCGCAGACGGUUGAUUAAGUCUGAUGUGAAAGCCCGGAGCUCAACUCCGGAAUGGCAUUGGAAACUGGUUAACUUGAGUGUUGUAGAGGUAAGUGGAACUCCAUGUGUAGCGGUGGAAUGCGUAGAUAUAUGGAAGAACACCAGUGGCGAAGGCGGCUUACUGGACAACAACUGACGUUGAGGCUCGAAAGUGUGGGUAGCAAACAGGAUUAGAUACCCUGGUAGUCCACACCGUAAACGAUGAAUACUAGGUGUUAGGAGGUUUCCGCCUCUUAGUGCCGAAGCUAACGCAUUAAGUAUUCCGCCUGGGGAGUACGACCGCAAGGUUGAAACUCAAAGGAAUUGACGGGGACCCGCACAAGCGGUGGAGCAUGUGGUUUAAUUCGAAGCAACGCGAAGAACCUUACCAGGUCUUGACAUCCUUUGAAGCUUUUAGAGAUAGAAGUGUUCUCUUCGGAGACAAAGUGACAGGUGGUGCAUGGUCGUCGUCAGCUCGUGUCGUGAGAUGUUGGGUUAAGUCCCGCAACGAGCGCAAC